CAUGGGCGCAAGGUUUGUGGUGGGAAAGAUUUUUCGGUUGGGGAUGGGCUCGCGGCCUAUCAGCUUGUUGGUGAGGUAGUGGCUCACCAAGGCGUCGACGGGUAGCCGGCCUGAGAGGGUGACCGGCCACACUGGGACUGAGACACGGCCCAGACUCCUACGGGAGGCAGCAGUGGGGAAUAUUGCACAAUGGGCGGAAGCCUGAUGCAGCAACGCCGCGUGAGGGAUGACGGCCUUCGGGUUGUAAACCUCUUUUAGCAGGGAAGAAGCGUAAGUGACGGUACCUGCAGAAAAAGCGCCGGCUAACUACGUGCCAGCAGCCGCGGUAAUACGUAGGGCGCAAGCGUUAUCCGGAAUUAUUGGGCGUAAAGAGCUCGUAGGCGGUUUGUCGCGUCUGCUGUGAAAACCCCGAGGCUCAACCUCGGGCCUGCAGUGGGUACGGGCAGACUAGAGUGCGGUAGGGGAGAUUGGAAUUCCUGGUGUAGCGGUGGAAUGCGCAGAUAUCAGGAGGAACACCGAUGGCGAAGGCAGAUCUCUGGGCCGUUACUGACGCUGAGGAGCGAAAGGGUGGGGAGCAAACAGGCUUAGAUACCCUGGUAGUCCACCCCGUAAACGUUGGGAACUAGUUGUGGGGGCCUUUCCACGGUCUCCGUGACGCAGCUAACGCAUUAAGUUCCCCGCCUGGGGAGUACGGCCGCAAGGCUAAAACUCAAAGGAAUUGACGGGGACCCGCACAAGCGGCGGAGCAUGCGGAUUAAUUCGAUGCAACGCGAAGAACCUUACCAAGGCUUGACAUACACCGGAAACGUCUGGAAACAGUCGCCCCUUUUUGGUCGGUGUACAGGUGGUGCAUGGUUGUCGUCAGCUCGUGUCGUGAGAUGUUGGGUUAAGUCCCGCAACGAGCGCAACCCUCGUUCUAUGUUGCCAGCACGUUAUGGUGGGAACUCAUGGGAUACUGCCGGGGUCAACUCGGAGGAAGGUGGGGAUGACGUCAAAUCAUCAUGCCCCUUAUGUCUUGGGCUUCACGCAUGCUACAAUGGCCGGUACAAAGGGCUGCAAUACCGUGAGGUGGAGCGAAUCCCAAAAAGCCGGUCCCAGUUCGGAUUGAGGUAUGCAACUCGACCUUAUGAAUUCG
rnacentral:rRNA from 1 species